UACGUAGGGCGCGAGCGUUGUCCGGAUUUAUUGGGCGUAAAGAGCUCGUAGGCGGCUUGUCGCGUCGGCUGUGAAAACCCGCGGCUCAACUGUGGGCGGGCAGCUGAUACGGGCAGGCUGGAGUUCGGUAGGGGAGACUGGAAUUCCUGGUGUAGCGGUGAAAUGCGCAGAUAUCAGGAAGAACACCCGUGGCGAAGGCGGCUCUCUGGGACGGUACUGACGCUGAGACGCGAAAGCGUGGGGAGCGAACAGG
rnacentral:rRNA from 1 species